UACGUAGGUCCCAAGCAUUAUCCGAUUUUAUUGGGCGUAAAGAGUUCUGUAGGCGGUUAGAUAAGUUGGGGGUUAAAUCCCAGUGCUCAACACUGGAACCGCUCCCAAAACUGUUUGACUAGAUGUACGGAGGGGAAGCUGGAAUUUGCGGAGGAGCAGUGAAAUGCGUUGAUCUCGCAAAGAACACCUAAGGCGUAAGCAAGCUUCUGGCCGUUACAUGACGCUGAGAGACGAAAGCGUGGGGAGCGAACGGG
rnacentral:misc_RNA from 1 species